rnacentral:rRNA from 1 species
GACGAACGCUGGCGGCGUGCUUAACACAUGCAAGUCGAACGGAAAGGCCCUGCUUUUGUGGGGUGCUCGAGUGGCGAACGGGCGAGUAACACGUGAGUAACCUGCCCUUGACUUUGGGAUAACUUCAGGAAACUGGGGCUAAUACCGGAUAGGAGCUCCUGCUGCAUGGUGGAGGUUGGAAAGUUUCGGCGGUUGGGGAUGGACUCGCGGCUUAUCAGCUUGUUGGUGGGGUAGUGGCUUACCAAGGCUUUGACGGGUAGCCGGCCUGAGAGGGUGACCGGCCACAUUGGGACUGAGAUACGGCCCAGACUCCUACGGGAGGCAGCAGUGGGGAAUAUUGCACAAUGGGCGGAAGCCUGAUGCAGCAACGCCGCGUGCGGGAUGACGGCCUUCGGGUUGUAAACCGCUUUCGCCUGUGACGAAGCGUGAGUGACGGUAAUGGGUAAAGAAGCACCGGCUAACUACGUG